rnacentral:tRNA from 1 species
GGUAAAAUGGCCGAGUAGGCAUUAGACUGUAAAUCUAAGCACAGAUGUUUAGUUCUCUUCUUACCA